AGUGAACGCUGGCGGCAUGCCUAACACAUGCAAGUCGAACGGCAGCACAGGAAGCGCUUUCUCUUACGGUUGGCGACGGGCGGAUGGGUGAGGAGUACAUCGCCAUCUACUUUGUCUUGGGGGACAACGGAGGGAAACUUACGCUAAUAGAGCAUACGAUGAACGGGUGGAAGCAGUAGUUCUUGGGACCUUUCGCGAUUCAAUGAGCCGAUGUCGGAUUAGCUAGUUGGUGAGGUAAAGGCCUACCAAGGCGACGAUGCGUAGCCGGCCUGAGAGGAUGAGCAGCCACACUGGAACUGAGACACGGCCCAGACUCCUACGGGAGGCAGCAGUGGGGAAUUUUGGACAAUGGGGGCAAGCCUGACCCAGCCACGCCGCGUGAGUGAAGAAGGUCUUCGGGUCGUAAACCGCUUUUGUUAGGGAAGAAAUAAUGUGUGAUAAACCACCGGGGGCAUGACGGUACCGAAAGAGAAAGCAACGGCUAACUACGUG
rnacentral:rRNA from 1 species